GCGGGGAUAGCUCAGUUGGGAGAGCGUCAGACUGAAGCCUACUUUAAUCAUUAAUCUGAAGGUCAUGUGUUCAAUCCACAUUCACCGCA
rnacentral:tRNA from 1 species